GUGGGGAAUUUUGGACAAUGGGGGCAACCCUGAUCCAGCAAUGCCGCGUGCAGGAAGAAGGCCUUCGGGUUGUAAACUGCUUUUGUACGGAACGAAACGGUCCUGGUUAAUACCUGGGGCUAAUGACGGUACCGUAAGAAUAAGCACCGGCUAACUACGUGCCAGCAGCCGCGGUAAUACGUAGGGUGCAAGCGUUAAUCGGAAUUACUGGGCGUAAAGCGUGCGCAGGCGGUUUUGUAAGACAGGCGUGAAAUCCCCGGGCUCAACCUGGGAAUGGCGCUUGUGACUGCAAGGCUGGAGUGCGGCAGAGGGGGAUGGAAUUCCGCGUGUAGCAGUGAAAUGCGUAGAUAUGCGGAGGAACACCGAUGGCGAAGGCAAUCCCCUGGGCCUGCACUGACGCUCAUGCACGAAAGCGUGGGGAGCAAACAGGAUUAGAAACCCCUGUAGUCC
rnacentral:rRNA from 1 species